CUAUUAGGGUGCAAGCCCGAGAGAGCCGCAGUGAAUAGAUCCAAGCGACUGUUUAGCAAAAACACAGGUCUCUGCGAAGCCGCAAGGCGAAGUAUAGGGGCUGACACCUGCCCGGUGCUGGAAGGUUAAGAGGAGGGGUUAUCCGUAAGGAGAAGCUCUGAAUUGAAGCCCCAGUAAACGGCGGCCGUAACUAUAACGGUCCUAAGGUAGCGAAAUUCCUUGUCGGGUAAGUUCCGACCCGCACGAAUGGUGUAACGAUUUGGAUACUGUCUCAACGAGAGACCCGGUGAAAUUAUAGUACCUGUGAAGAUGCAGGUUACCCGCGACAGGACGGAAAGACCCCAUGGAGCUUUACUGUAGCUUGAUAUUGGAUGUUGGUACAGCUUGUACAGGAUAGGUAGGAGCCUUGGAAGCCGGAGCGCUAGCUUCGGUGGAGGCGUCGGUGGGAUACUACCCUGGCUGUGCUGACAUUCUAACCUCGAACCGUGAUCCGGUUCAGGGACAGUGUCAGGUGGGCAGUUUGACUGGGGCGGUCGCCUCCUAAACAGUAACGGAGGCG
rnacentral:rRNA from 1 species